rnacentral:rRNA from 1 species
UGCAGAGGUCCCAAGCGUUGUUCGGAUUCAUUGGGCGUAAAGGGUGCGUAGGCGGUGGGGUAAGUUGGAUGUGAAAUCUUGGGGCUUAACCUCAAAAUUGCAUUCAAUACUGCUCCGCUCGAGUUCUGUAGAGGAGAUUGGAAUUUACGGUGUAACAGUGAAAUGCGUAGAUAUCUGGAGGAACACCGGUGGCGAAGGCGGCGUUCUGGACUGCAUCUGACACUGAAAGACGAAAGCCAGGGGAGCAAACGGG